UGAAGGUUUUCGGAUCGUAAAGCUCUGUUGUUAGGGAAGAACAAGUGCCGUUCAAAUAGGGCGGCACCUUGACGGUACCUAACCAGAAAGCCACGGCUAACUACGUGCCAGCAGCCGCGGUAAUACGUAGGUGGCAAGCGUUGUCCGGAAUUAUUGGGCGUAAAGGGCUCGCAGGCGGAUUCUUAAGUCUGAUGUGAAAGCCCCCGGCUCAACCGGGGAGGGUCAUUGGAAACUGGGGAACUUGAGUGCAGAAGAGGAGAGUGGAAUUCCACGUGUAGCGGUGAAAUGCGUAGAGAUGUGGAGGA
rnacentral:rRNA from 1 species